rnacentral:lncRNA from 1 species
AUUAAAUUUCAGAGAAGACAAUUUCUGUUGAUUGUUUCUUUGCAAUGACGAUCAAUAAAAGCCAAUGCCAAACUCUUUCGCAUGUUGGUUUGUAUCUUUCUAGGUCUGUCUUCAGCCAUGGUCAACUAUAUGUUGCACUGUGAGCAGAUGUGACAUUAAGAUACUCAUCAAGUCGGAUUCGGGAGAACUCACCAAUGUUACUAGAAAUGUCGUGUACAAGGAAGUGUUUCAUCGAAUUUGAAGGUACAAAAUAUUUUCAUAUUUAUCACUUAUCAGUUAUUCAUGUAACAUGUUUUUUUUUAACAACUUAUCCUUUGGCAGGUAUUUCUUCUCUAUAUAAUUUCCCCCAUGCGAUGUUAUUUUCAGUCAUGUCCCUAGGAUGCUUAGUGCAAAUCUUAUUAUCUUUAAGAUUUAUUUUUGACGAUAUACUAAUAUUUAAUUCUUAUAUUGUAACUAUGAAG